UACGGAGGGAGCUAGCGUUAUUCGGAAUUACUGGGCGUAAAGCGCACGUAGGCGGCUUUGUAAGUUAGAGGUGAAAGCCCAGAGCUCAACUCUGGAACUGCCUUUAAGACUGCAUCGCUUGAAUCCAGGAGAGGUGAGUGGAAUUCCGAGUGUAGAGGUGAAAUUCGUAGAUAUUCGGAAGAACACCAGUGGCGAAGGCGGCUCACUGGACUGGUAUUGACGCUGAGGUGCGAAAGCGUGGGGAGCAAACAGG
rnacentral:rRNA from 1 species